UGGGGAAUUUUGGACAAUGGGCGAAAGCCUGAUCCAGCAAUGCCGCGUGUGUGAAGAAGGCCUUCGGGUUGUAAAGCACUUUUGUCCGGAAAGAAAUCCUUGGCUCUAAUACAGUCGGGGGAUGACGGUACCGGAAGAAUAAGCACCGGCUAACUACGUGCCAGCAGCCGCGGUAAUACGUAGGGUGCAAGCGUUAAUCGGAAUUACUGGGCGUAAAGCGUGCGCAGGCGGUUUGCUAAGACCGAUGUGAAAUCCCCGGGCUCAACCUGGGAACUGCAUUGGUGACUGGCAGGCUAGAGUAUGGCAGAGGGGGGUAGAAUUCCACGUGUAGCAGUGAAAUGCGUAGAGAUGUGGAGGAAUACCGAUGGCGAAGGCAGCCCCCUGGGGCCAAUACUGACGCUCAUGCACGAAAGCGUGGGGGAGCAAACAGGAUUAGAUACCCUGGGUAGUCCACGCCCUAAACGAUGUCAACUAGUUGUUGGGGAUUCAUUUCCUUAGUAACGUAGCUAACGCGUGAAGUUGACCGCCUGGGGAGUA
rnacentral:rRNA from 1 species